rnacentral:misc_RNA from 1 species
AAUUGACUAAAUAUAUGUUAAUAUUUAUAGUAAUAGCUAUGAACAUGGAUAAAUUAUGUGUAAAAAUUACACCUAAAUGAUAAUAUAAAAUACAUGCAUCAUAAAUCCAAGUUUAUCUUUAGCCCUAAGUGCUAUUAACAUUGAUCUACUCCAAGCAAGAUAAUCCUCACCGGUUAAUGGAGCAUUUACAAGAUUCAUACUGGGAUGAUCAGAACUCUGCAACGACAGCUGAUCUCAGUUCUCAUGAGCCAUGGAUCCAGCCAUCUUCAAUCAAAUCCAGAUGAACUAACUAUCAAAUCGAUGAGAUUAGAAUCAGCAAUCAGUCGCAGGAAAGCGGAGCUCUGAUACCAUGAACGAAAAUAGAAACUAACUAGAAAACUUGAUAGAUAAGAGAAUAAAAAUGAUUCUCAUUCGUCUGAUUUGAUCUGUACAAAUAACUGUCUCUUGUAUAUUACUUUACAAGAAUGAGAAAAGUCAACACUAUCUAGAAUUAUCCAGCCAGCUAAUUAACUAAUCUUCCCGCCAAAAUAAUGUUUCUCGGAACCCUUUACAUCUGCAAUUGCACAGCUUCUCUGGAUCUUCUUAUCAGUGCUUCUCGAAUGGUUUGUUUUGUGUUAACAAAACGCCCGGUUUCAUUUAUGGACCCAACGCACCGUUUUGAACACACUCUUUUCUUACACCGGCUUCUUCUUUUGCGGGAAGCAAAUAAGAUCAGCGUUCUGCAAUUUCAUCAGAACGUAGCUGGAGCCACAUAAUUUGGUUUCUGCUAGAAAAUAGAAAUGUUAUGCUCUUACCUUCUUCUUGAAAGGAAUGGCAAAAAAAAAAGAGCCAAAGGGCAGCUAUAAGGGGCGUCGAAUUCCAUGGAAAGCCUUGCAAAUUGAGCAGUCUCUUAGCCAAUACCCAGCUUUCAUUACCUGUUCGACCUUAAAAUAAUAAGUUCGUUUAAAUUUGGCAAGCUCAGAGAUGGAUCACUUGGCCCUAAUAAACCUAGCUACAAACAAAAAGGUCCGUAUAGCAUAUUGGUUUCAGAAGCUCCACGUACAGAUCAAUUACAGUACAACAAGCCCCAACAAGCAAUUGUGCAAGUAUGGAUAUACCUCAAUUGUACCAUAGAAUGCAAAAUUCAAGUGAUUUAAUUUGCAUUACAUUGUUGCUCCCACUUGUAAAACAAAGCCUAAAGGCAAACCAGGAAAUGACAAAACAUUGUCUGUCCUGGCCAUUUGAAUUAGUCUCAGUCAUGCAUCAGCACGACUCCUAGCAAUACUAUCAAUAUAAUAUUACUUUUUUGGGAAAAAAAAUAACUUAAUUAAUUUAUUUUUAAUGCCUACAAAUGAAUAUAUUCAAAAUAUUGCUUUUUUAUAUAAACAAUAACGAUAAAUUGACUUAUAAUAAUUUGUUUUAAAAGUCGGAAUUAAUCUUAAUAAUUCCAGUUCCCUACCUCUUGAGUCUGCAUUUGCCAAUCAUUUGUGAGAGAACCCAUAUCUACUGAUCACCUCAUACAACACAAAUGAGGAAGCAUGGCAAAGGAGAGACUUGCCCUAUUGUUCAAAUUACCAAAGCAAAAUCUUUCUUUAAUUAAUUCCCAUGAACAAAUUAAGGAAAAUUUUUCUAAUUAUGAAUGGUGUGUAUAUGCAAGUAUUUUAGUUUUUAUUUUUUUCUAAAUAAUUAUUUAGCAGGCCCCUAUUUACUAUGCAUAUGAUUUUUUUUUAAACACUGUGCAUAUGAAAUUAUACCCAUUGGAUUAACAUAUAUUAAGGGAAAAUGAAAAAUAAUAUUGUUAGUAAAUAUAAUAUUUAAUUAAUUAAUUUUUUAAUAACAAAGUGAUUUAACCAGUAAACGGGUAAAGUUCUGAACGGUAUGAUAACUAUGCUUUCUUUGUUAUUUUUUCAUGAAAAAGAAAGAGGCACUUACCCAUCACUGGUUGUCUGGUUCAGCAAAACAAACAGAGAUUAACAACUAGUUAUGGUUUUUCAUUUCCCGUAAGUGCUAAACUUAUAUUAUUCAAGCAGGUCGAACAGAUAAUGAAAGAAAGGUUAGUCAGCAAAAAAGAACUGUUCAAUUGACAAGCAUAGCAUGGAACGCACUCACCCAGAGCCUCCGACCGCCACUCGUCGAUCGCAAUCGAUGUAUCUUUUACUGUUAUAUCUCUCUUCUUCUAUAUCCUUUUUUGGUUCCAAGGUAUCAAGAAGUAUAUGGCGGAGAUUUUUG